GAUGAACGCUGGCGGCGUGCCUAAUACAUGCAAGUCGAGCGAACGGACGAGAAGCUUGCUUCUCUGAUGUUAGCGGCGGACGGGUGAGUAACACGUGGAUAACCUACCUAUAAGACUGGGAUAACUUCGGGAAACCGUAGCUAAUACCGGAUAAUAUUUUGAACCGCAUGGUUCAAAAGUGAAAGACGGUCUUGCUGCCACUUAUAGAUGGAUCCGCGCUGCAUUAGCUAGUUGGUAAGGUAACGGCUUACCAAGGCAACGAUGCAUAGCCGACCUGAGAGGGUGAUCGGCCACACUGGAACUGAGACACGGUCCAGACUCCUACGGGAGGCAGCAGUAGGGAAUCUUCCGCAAUGGGCGAAAGCCUGACGGAGCAACGCCGCGUGAGUGAUGAAGGUCUUCGGAUCGUAAAACUCUGUUAUUAGGGAAGAACAUAUGUGUAAGUAACUGUGCACAUCUUGACGGUACCUAAUCAGAAAGCCACGGCUAACUACGUGCCAGCAGCCGCGGUAAUACGUAGGUGGCAAGCGUUAUCCGGAAUUAUUGGGCGUAAAGCGCGCGUAGGCGGUUUUUUAAGUCUGAUGUGAAAGCCCACGGCUCAACCGUGGAGGGUCAUUGGAAACUGGAAAACUUGAGUGCAGAAGAGGAAAGUGGAAUUCCAUGUGUAGCGGUGAAAUGCGCAGAGAUAUGGAGGAACACCAGUGGCGAAGGCGACUUUCUGGUCUGUAACUGACGCUGAUGUGCGAAAGCGUGGGGAUCAAACAGGAUUAGAUACCCUGGUAGUCCACGCCGUAAACGAUGAGUGCUAAGUGUUAGGGGGUUUCCGCCCCUUAGUGCUGCAGCUAACGCAUUAAGCACUCCGCCUGGGGAGUACGACCGCAAGGUUGAAACUCAAAGGAAUUGACGGGGACCCGCACAAGCGGUGGAGCAUGUGGUUUAAUUCGAAGCAACGCGAAGAACCUUACCAAAUCUUGACAUCCUUUGACAACUCUAGAGAUAGAGCCUUCCCCUUCGGGGGACAAAGUGACAGGUGGUGCAUGGUUGUCGUCAGCUCGUGUCGUGAGAUGUUGGGUUAAGUCCCGCAACGAGCGCAACCCUUAAGCUUAGUUGCCAUCAUUAAGUUGGGCACUCUAAGUUGACUGCCGGUGACAAACCGGAGGAAGGUGGGGAUGACGUCAAAUCAUCAUGCCCCUUAUGAUUUGGGCUACACACGUGCUACAAUGGGCAAUACAAAGGGCAGCGAAACCGCGAGGUCAAGCAAAUCCCAUAAAGUUGUUCUCAGUUCGGAUUGUAGUCUGCAACUCGACUACAUGAAGCUGGAAUCGCUAGUAAUCGUAGAUCAGCAUGCUACGGUGAAUACGUUCCCGGGUCU
rnacentral:rRNA from 1 species